AGAAGCAUUAACCUGCCUUUUCCUUUUUCUUUUAUAUCUACUUGGUUUGUUCAGCCUUUCUCAGGAGAGUUGUCAAAGUAGAAGAUAUAUCAGUAUAGAAGAAUCAGUUAAGCUCAGGAGGGAUAGCGCCAUAGGUGAUCUUCAACCCUUUCGUGUAUGUGUUUUGAUCCUCCUUAGCGCUAUCCAUCCUGAGUUUCAUCGGUUCUUCUUGCUUUUUGCUUCGUCAAAUGAAGAAAACCCCAUGUAGAAACAAGCACAGAAUCGAUGUUGACAACACGUAGGGGCAGAUGGGAAAUGAAAAAUAUGUAAAAUGGGGUUGUUACGGUUGCAGGACUUGAUCCUUGCAUUGCACGGAAGCGUUCGUAGUACUCUAGCAAUAACUGUAAUACCGUUAUAUUUCCAACGGUGACGAGGAAUGACUAAUCCUCGUUACAGAACUCUCCAUUCCCCGUGCCCGUUGCCGGUUAACCCAUACCCAUCACUGGAGAUCGAAUCCCGACUACAUCAUCAAACCACGUCUCUCAUAUGAAAACCAGGGAAAGCCCUUGGUUUAGUCAGGCUUAAUAAACAACCAGACAGGCCAAGCCAGCUGCUGCAGCGUUGCCCCUACUCCAACAUGUGCCUGUCUGCAGCAGCGUUGCCCCUACUCCAACGUAUAGAAAUGGGGUUUGACUGUUGAAAUUAUAU